rnacentral:rRNA from 1 species
UACGUAGGGUGCGAGCGUUGUCCGGAAUUAUUGGGCGUAAAGAGCUCGUAGGCGGUUUGUUGCGUCGGCCGUGAAAACCUGCAGCUUAACUGUGGGCCUGCGGCCGAUACGGGCAGACUUGAGUUCGGUAGGGGAGACUGGAAUUCCUGGUGUAGCGGUGAAAUGCGCAGAUAUCAGGAGGAACACCGGUGGCGAAGGCGGGUCUCUGGGCCGAUACUGACGCUGAGGAGCGAAAGCGUGGGGAGCGAACGGG